UUCAAUGGGUUUCAAACUCCUCACCCUCAACAAUUAUAAAAACAAGGCUGGGUCCCAAUCCUACACACGGUUUGAAGCUCCUCAUCCCAUCCCGGUACUUCUCUAAAAGGUGUAAGGUGCGGAAGACUGUGGCAUUAGGUUUACAGUGAUGGCAUCCCAAACCGAUGAGACCCAGUUGGUGUCCAAUCGACAGUGAUAAUGAAGCAUCCUCACUUGCAAUUCCACAAGAAUGGCAAAUGAAUGAGAGCUGUCCACGUGGAACGAUCCCCAUACACAUGAGUCCAACAGCAUGAUUUGCUGAGAAUCCCUUCUCUGGUGGAUUUUGGUAGAAAAUAUCCCCAAGAAAACUUCUAUUCCAAUCAGCAGAAUCUCUUUGAAACAGUCUCUCCUUAUCAGGACCCAAAGAGUGGGAAUUGGUGGCUGCAGAUGAACGAGAUUCAGGUCGGAUAUUGGCCCGGUUCCUUGUUCGAAGCUUUAGCUCACAGUGCCAACACCAUUGCAUGAGGAGGUGCAGUUUAUAACUCUGUGGGACCAUCUUACACAGCCACUCAGAUGGGGAAUGGUCAUUUCCCAAGUGAAGGUUUUAGGAAAUCAAGUUACAUCUCCAUGAUUCAAAUCUUGGAUCAGAACAACACCCGUAAAAACCCUCCAGUGGUUGAGAUAUACACAACCAACCCCAACUGCCAUGAUGUAAAUCUUGGUGGAGAUGGGACCUCUUUGGGGUAUCAUUUCUAUCAUGGGGGGCCUGGUACUGGUUCCAACAAUUUCAUGUGAGAAACUAUAGCUCAUAACUCAUCACUAUCCAAAUAAAGCAUUUUAAGCUAUGUAAGCAAUCAGUAUCACCGGUAAGAUAUUAUUGGAUUGAAUUCAAGUGGUUUUUUUUUUGUUUUUUUUGCCUUCCAUCUUAAUAGCCCAUCUGGAUGUAACUCGAACCAUGAACUGUUUGGAUAUUGCUGCAGCUAUGCACUUGGGAUAAACCAAAACAAUGUUAGCCAUGUGCAUGCUGAUUUCAUCUUGAGAAUGCAACUGUAAUUAUCUCACUUUUGAGAGUGCACAAAAUACAACUGAA